rnacentral:rRNA from 1 species
AUACGGAGGGUGCAAACGUUGUUCGGAAUUACUGGGCGUAAAGCGCGCGUAGGCGGUUUGUUAAGUCAGAUGUGAAAGUCCACAGCUCAACUGUGGAAGUGCAUUUGAAACUGGCAGACUUGAGUACUGGAGGGGGUGGUGGAAUUCCCGGUGUAGAGGUGAAAUUCGUAGAUAUCGGGAGGAAUACCGGUGGCGAAGGCGACCACCUGGCCAGAUACUGACGCUGAGGUGCGAAAGCGUGGGGAGCAAACGGGAUUAGAAACCCUAGUAGUCC